CCAGGUCAGUGGAAUGUGUCGUCUAGUCGUGUUCUGCAGAUCGACCCAAAGACGGGAGCUGCCCUGGCAAAGCAUUCUGGAACGGUAGUGGUCUACUACAGACUGGAAGGAGGACAGCAGGCCCUCAGAGAGGUGAAGGUGGAGUCUCCAGCCAUCCCAGAACUCUAUCCCCCUGAGGAUCGUUUCCUCACCAACUGGCCUGACGCACCUGACUACACUGUUCCUGUGGAGCUAUACACCUCCCCCGUCAACACAGCCCAGUGUUCCCUGUUCCAGAGGGAGGCCAUAGAGAAGCUGCAGCCAGAGGCAGAGUUAUGGUGUUCCCUGCACUUCAGCGCCCCCUACCUCCAGCUCAACACACUGCAGGCUGUGAUCGUCGCCACACCUCACUAUGACCUCGACACAGGUGAAUACAGCUGCAGAGUCUCCGUCCGUCCCCAGUCAGACUCCGUCCUCCACCUCCUCUCCUCUCUCUCUCUCUCCGUCUCUCUCUCAGCCUCUCUGCGGGGCCAGUCCCCCAUCCCUAUCCUUCCUCUCUCUGCUCUGUCGCUACCUCUCUCCGGACGUUUGGUACAGUUGCCGUACCUGCCUGCGUUCCACUGCCCGGUGUCUUUCCUGGUGCUCU